rnacentral:rRNA from 1 species
GUGAGGAAUAUUGGACAAUGGGCGCAAGCCUGAUCCAGCCAUGCCGCGUGCAGGAAGACGCAUCUAUGGUGUGUAAACUGCUUUUGUACGGGAAGAAACACUCCCUCGUGAGGGAGCUUGACGGUACCGUAAGAAUAAGGAUCGGCUAACUCCGUGCCAGCAGCCGCGGUAAUACGGAGGAUCCAAGCGUUAUCAGGAAUCAUUGGGUUUAACGGGUCCGUAGGCGGUUUAAUAAGGCAGUGGUGAAAGCCCAUCGCUCAACGAUGGAAGGGCCAUUGAUACUGUUAGACUUGGAUUACAAGGAAGUAACUAGAAUAUGUAGUGUAGCGGUGAAAUGCUUAGAUAUUACAUGGAAUACCAAUUGCGAAGGCAGGUUACUACUUGUGGAUUGACGCUGAUGGACGAAAGCGUGGGGAGCGAACAGGAUUAGAUACCCCGGUAGUCC